rnacentral:siRNA from 1 species
UAAUUACCUUUUUCACCAUUCCA